rnacentral:tRNA from 1 species
AGAGAUAGCUCAAUGGAUUAGAGCACUUGCUGUGCAAACAUGAGGACUUGAGUUCAGGUCUCAGUCUCU